rnacentral:lncRNA from 1 species
CUUUAUUUCCUGUUAGCUCCAUUUCUGGCCUUUGGUCUCUUUCUCGGAAAGCAGGCCUCAGUGGCCUCAGUUUCUUCCCAGAACCUGCAAUGCCCCACCAAGGUGACAAGAAGUGCAAGGAGUCGGUUUUCACUGCCAACCAAAGAGGUGACCCCCGCAAAGCAACCAUGUUGGGACAGUCCAUUUGCUGCGUUUUGAUUAUUUGCUAAGAGCAAAUACCUUUUCUGUUUGGGUUUUGCUUUUAGAAAAAAAAUGUGGCAGAUGGUGGUGGCUUUCCCCGUCAUUGAAAGAAGAAAGGUAGUAACUCUACUGGUGCACUCCUCUGAGUUGUGCUAACAAAGAAGAAUGCUGAAAGAAAAGGGAAAUGAACACCAUUUUCAGGCAGCUUCUCCAAGUUUUUUUGACAGUGUUAUAAUUUUCCUUUAGCGACUGUUGAAGCAAAUAUCUGUAUUUAUGUUCAGAUUAAACCGAGAGAGCAAAGACUGCUAAAGCCAGUAAUUUCUGGGCUGCAAAUGCAGGAUAGCUCCAGUGAAUUUCAGAUUCUUAAAGGUUUUUGCUGUAGCGAAUUCAUGACACAAAGCAUUUGGAGGGAAACCUAUUAGAGAAGAAACACAUCCUAAAUGAGAAUUACUGAGGACGGGAGGCUCUUGUCAUUUAUUGGAUUAGUUAUAGCACUUUACACAAGCCUGUAAUAUUUGUUCUGCUGCUGUGGUGUGACUGGUAAAAUGAAAAGGUAUGUCAAGGGAGUGCUUGACUGACGUUCUUAUUUCUUCCGUCUUCUUAUAUUGCUGGGAGGAUUCUACCACUGCAGGGCUAGAAAUUAAUAUCACACUCAUUUGAUAGGAAGAGCAAAAGCAAGGUUAUGAGUCAGAGACAUUUUGGUCCCAGAACAAUAACUCUAUUGAUUGAGUCAAAUAUGUUUAACUCCAACAGCAAGACCUUCCAUCUGCGUGAAAUAAUCAUGUCCGUUAAUUGUAAACAGGAGCAUCUUUGAAAGCUGAGCUAGAGGCGGAGCAACUGGUAAACCAGAUGUCCCAAAUUUCUAGGUUUGUACAUUGUAAUUGUUCUAGACUUGUGUGUGGAUAUUGGUAAAAUGACAUAGUCAGAUAUCUCACAGAUUUUGUGAGAUAUGUCCAAAGUUCCCAAGUUAAUUUAUUACUAAAGUUAGAAUUUCACUUACUGUGAGAUUGGAAUGCCAGCCAGCUACUGAACCUUAUGUGUGCCUAGGGGCCAUUUUGAGACAAUUUGCUGAAUAUUAAAAGUACAACCAAUAAUGUUUCUCUCCACAUCCACAAUAGCGCUUAGAGGAAGCAUCUGGGAUUGAGCCAUCUCACAUCUGUCUAAUCACAUUCAUUCAAAUGUGAUGGGCCCAACUGGCCUACGUACAUGGCUGCAUAUCACCAUGGGUGGAAAUUAAAUCAGAAUUUGGCUCAGGAGAGAGAUGAAGAGAAAAUGCACGUAGAUAAUUGGCUCAGAUAACAUUCUGUUUCUGGAAGUCACAAAGAGUGGAAAUUGGAAUAUGUAAAUUAAAGAAAAACAGUCCUUAAGAUCAAGUCCGCAAUGGAAGAAGAGCAUUCAUCUGGUACAGGUUGAUGAUUGUGUAAGCCCAAGGAGUGAUGUCAACACUGGGGUUCACCUGAGAACAUGGACAUGGUUGAUGAGGGUUUAGGAGAUGCUCAUACGAAGUCUUCAUAUGUUCCCUGGAUCCCAGCUCUGCCUUCCCACCAGAGAGGAUGUAAUUCAGCCGAGAUGCCCAGAGUCAGCUCUCUGCUCAUAUCUGUUCCGCACUGAAGCCAAUCAUCUGAGAAACCUAAGAAGUGUUUAAUGUAGUUAGGAAAGUGAGGGAUGAAGACCAUAAAUUCCUUUUCAUGUAGCAGAGUAUAUAUGUGAUACUCAUUCUGUGGUAUUUGGGGCAUAAACAAGAGUCGAUGAAGGAAUGUGAAAGUACUCGAAAUCCUGACUUUUAUCUCUAUAAAAAUGGCAUAGGGAUGAAACACACUUGGUUGUUAUGACUGUACUCUUUUCAGAUUUACUACUUGCCUUUCUACUGAUUUUUCUGUGCCACAGGUCUUGACUCCUGUAGGCUAAAUUUCUCAGCCUCUUCUGCUCACUGAUAUAUGGGAAGGUUUGGCCAAAGGUGGGUGACUGGUGGGGAGAAGGAUGAGGGAAUUCAGGGGAUUGCUGAGCCCAUUCUCUAGACAGUGCUGCUGGCACUGGCUCUGUCUUCUCCGUUUCCAUCUCGCAUCAGACGGUUCUUCCCUCUAUGGGCCUAGUCCUACCUAGACACUUUCCAGUUGGAUUCCAGUUCUGGGGAUGCUCCCUCCUGCAGGGAUCUAAGUCCUUCCCAUUGUCUUCGGCUCCUGGGCUCAGCUAGAACCAUCUUUUCCCAUUGUCCCUGUGGUGCUAGGGCUUUCAGUGGUUAUUAACGUCUGUGUUGUAUCAUCUUGCCUGAAUUUCAGCUCUCUGUAACCAGUUCCCCAAAUAAAAUUCCCCCCAUUUACCUAC